UUAGCCAAACAAUGUUUGCUAGGAGGGGAGGUGUUUGAGGUUUCAUGGCAAUGUUUGAUUUCCUAUAUCAUGUGGUAGGCAGCGGAGAUAUAACAAUGGAAUCGAAGAAACUAAGCAAAACAAAGCUAGAAACAGUGUCAAGGUCAUGAUCAUCUUGCGUGUGAUUUUUUCAGAGUGGAACUGUUCCUGAUCUUCAGGCACUCUGGCGCCCCGCCUGAUUACCACUGUAGGCAGACGGUCGCCACACAUACCAGCCCAUGAAAUUACUCUGGUAUGCGCGUUUACAACAAGUAUCAUGAACACAUGCAUUUCUAUUAAUAGAUAUAAGGACCUUACAUGGGAUAUUACAAGGGUGAAGGCAGCGGAAAAUCUCUAUCUAAGGCAGCAUGGUCUUUGUGGGCUCCAAUCCACACGGAUCGAACUAGGUUACUCCUCUAGCCCGCGAACACUCCAGCUCCUUGACGACGAAAGACGGAUCCUUAUGUGAACAUGUCCAUGUUAAAGGCCGCUGAUUACAUUUGAAUGUACUCGCAAGCAAACCAAACUACCAUAUACACCAAGCAAAGCAAUCCAUGGCAUUCAAGCAUGCAUUUUUUAUUGGAGCAAUAUUAAUCAUCAUGAUCUAGCAAUUCUAUCUAGUAAAAUUCAUUAUCAUGUUAUAAUAGGAUUAACCAGCAAGGUAACUACUAAAGUAGAUAUGAUGAGGUAAAGCAUAUUAAGUAAAUAAUUUAUACUCCGGAUGUUCUCAUAAUCCAAUCUGAAUCUGAUCCAAAUCCAAUCCGAAUCAUGUCGUCAUCCGACCACUCAUCUCAUAGCCAUCCCAUGGCUAACAUAUCAUAUUCCUGACAUCAAUGGAUGUCUGUAGAAGACGAGUUCUUCCAUCAUUAUUAUCGCUGAUAUGGUUGACCACCUAGUUACGCCUGGACGGGUUGUCCAAUACCAUGGACGCGGCUAUUCGAAUAGAUUUUGCACUCUGCAGUGGUUGCAAACUUUACCCACACCAUGAAGCACCUAGCCUCGUGAUCCCUUUCGAGUGGACCAGCGUUGCUUCAACGAAACCUGCCUAACCCGUGACUGUUCCAUCGUUCCACCGACAUUCAUCCUCCCCCGGAGUCUUGCCCUGGGUGGCCGUGUGUCCUCUUGACACCUACCACCGUCGUGGGCAAACUAAACGGUCCCAAACGGGGACGCCGACACAAUACUCGACUGGCUCACAGGGUUAUCACCGCCUACCUUUUCAGGGUAGCACGCAUGCCUAACCCUCCCUUUUUGGAGGUACCGGUGAAAGAGCACGCAAUCAGACCAAGUCAAGGUCAUCCCAUACCGGCAAAUGUGGUUGCAUAGAUAAGCCAGGACAGGUGACUCUAGAUCAACCGACUAGAUUUAGUCUAAGCCAGUAUUUCACAAGCAUGGUUGUUUAUCACAAUAACUUGAGAUGGGAGUAUCUAAGCAUGAUAACCACAUAUCUCUAUAUAAUAUCACGACAAGUCAUUAGUGCAAUGAUAACAUGAGCAGUAGCAGGUAAUGUAAAUGAUAAUAUCGAAAUGCCAGGAGUUUAAUUAUUUCUAGCACAAGCAUAUCAUUAAUGAAACACGCAAGAAUAAGACAGAGCAAUGCUAUAGGGAAUAUAUCAGCUGGUCGGCUUGCCUGGGGUCGAAGAAUACUCCGAGAAGAAGUGCGGAGAGUCCGCAGAAAGGAUUGCCGAAAAUUGUUCUCUCUCGGAGGAGGAUGAUUGAAGGCAAGGGCAAAAUGCUCAUUUUCAUAGUGUGAAAACGUUUUGAAAAUGAUACCAUCGGAACGGGCUCGACGAACUGAAGAUGUGGGCGUUGGUUUCACCUGAAUCGGAGUCUCGGGUGAAAAGAUAUGGUCGUUCACUUUUUAAGGAGAAGAGUGCCCUAACCAGCGAACGUACACAAUUUAAAAGAUUCGGCCGGCGGUGGAGUGGGUAAGUGUGUUUGCUAAAAUACGCUUUCCGCGAAGGGAAAGCGCACUUCACUCUGUAGCAGCAGCUGUAUACGCUUUCGGAAGCGAAAAGCGUAUUCCUGUGGAUACGUUUCCACUUAAACAACACGCGCCCGUCGUUGACUUUAUUGUGAGCCUGACACGCGGGUCCCACCGCUGACGUCUCUCUCUCCUCUGCCUCCUUCUUCUUCCUCCCACGGGUUCCCGCGGAGCAGAGACAGAGCACCAGCGCCGGCUCAAGCCAUCUCCAGAGGCGCUCCGGCCACCGACGGAAAGAGGUGGAGGCGCAGCAUCCAUCUGCCCAUAGCGCGACCACCGGCGAGCGCCUAGGCGAGUGAGGCAACGGUCGUGAUGGGCAGUGGCUUCGGCCUGAGUUGGGCACGGUGGCUAGAUGGCGGAGGGGAGGGGCCGAGGCUCUAGGGAGGGCCGCGGUGAUGAGGGGAAGGGAGAGGUGGUGGUUAGAGGGAGGGAGAGACUCGGGCUCGACCGAAUUUAGGAGGGGCUUGGCGGCAGCCACUUUGGCCAUGGGAGGGCAGAGAGCUCCGGGAGCUCGAGAGAGAGGGCUGGGGAGGUCACUCGAGAGUAGGAGGGCUCGGGGAACGCCUUAAAUAGGAUAGGAGAGGGCCUACGCAACGAUGGCCGGAGCUUUGAGAGCUCGUCGCCGUGGCGGCAACCUAGCAAGGAAUCGACGUCGGUAGAAGCGGCCAUAAGCAAGGGGAUGAGGGGGAGAGCGUUCCAGAGGGCUCGCGCACGCGGUGCACAGCUCGUCCGCGCGUCCGAACGAGCCAGAGCUAGCUGGAUACAAGCCCCCGAAGGAUCAAGUGCACAAUGCACCGAUUUGCAGCGCUUUGCGUGUGGUCAUAGUGUGGCCACGGCAUUGCCAUCCCUCACUCGCAACAAUGUCGUGUCUGGGGUCUUCUCCUUUCUUCACUGAGUUGCCUAGAGAGGUUUUGGAGGGAAGUGGGGGCGAUAGAUGCCAGAUGAGAGCUCACAAGGGUGCUGGCAUGAAGGUGUUUGACAGGUGGCAUGGCCAUCACAGUCCUCACCUUGGCCCGAUCUUCGGUAGAGAGUGAUCACUCACUAGAGUGACCCUUCGUACCAAAAUUCAGCACCAAAGGAAUGGUCUAGAUGGCACCUCCUUUGCAAACUUGUAAACUGGCCAGAAUGGAAAAUAAUUUUCUGGGAGAAAUUGUCUAGAUAAAUACAAAUGAAAUUUGGUGGAGAGCAAUGAUUUCAGUAUAUGGGGCUACUGGAAAAGUUUCAGCUCAUUUGGAAAUGCCUACAUGGUACUUCCUUCAUAGCACUUCCAAAUGGACAGAAACUUGAGAAAAAUACUGAGGUAAAAUGGUUAAAUGGAUUGAGCUGAUUUUUGGUUUCCAUGGAUGAUUUAUCAAUAUUUACCACCAUGAAAAGUUUCACCUCAAAUAGAUAAAGGAAUAGAGCGCUUCCUUUGCAAAUUUCCCAACUGGACAUGUUGUGCUUAAUAGUUGAACUAUGGAACUUGGGCUCUUGGUGGAAAUGGGGAAGAUAUGGAUACGAGAAGAUCCACAAAUUAUUUGGGAUUUUUCCUAGCUACCAAAAUGGUAGUUCCUUUAGAAAGUGCCCAAAACGCAAUAUUGGCACUAAAUAGGAAAAUGCAAUUUAUCCUAUUUAACUAUGUCCAAUAUUUUUAUGGGAUCUCAAUAUGAUCACAAAGAAUAUCUCCACAAGUUUUCAUGAACUCUGGAGAUGGAUAGAUAUUUUCCUGGAUUGAACUUCCUUUAUCUGACAGAAAAGGAAUUAAUUAUAGAUGAAAUAUAUUGGAAAUGACUUGGCUAUAUUUUUGCCUAUCCAUGGUUUCUAGAUGAAUAAUGGUCACUCGGAAAAGUUUGGGAGUCAACAGAUCAAAGGAGAUUGGGGUUCCUUUGUAACUGGAGUGAUUAGGGUUUACCUUCCGGCAACUCAGAAGGUAGGGUUUUGAUGGCCAAGUCCGGAGAUAGAUCUUGGGUGGCAAGGUUGAACUGGACAGAAUUUCUGGUUGGAUAGGAAGGGAAUGCUAGAUGACCAUCUUCACAUACCCAAGAGCUAAACAAAUCCGAUAACACCGAAAAAAAAACAGGAGUCAAAUCCCACAAAGGAAAAAAACAGGGAGGAAACCAGGGUGUUACAUACACGAACUCACCGGACUCCUCAACUCGUUCUCGGACCCAGUAGCUACCCAAAAGAAACAAAUAGACAAUAAACACCAGCAAUAGAUGAUGCAACAUACAAUAUGAAGCAUGUAUGCACAGCUCUAAACAUGCACAAAAAACAAUCCUACUCAUUCUACAAAGUGCAACCUCAUCACAAAAUGUAACUUUUACAGAACUACUCAAAACAAAAAUCCAGUGCAACCAUUGAAUUCCUUGGAUUUUUCUACCCAAAAUCCAUAUUUGAUACUACUAUAUUUGCAUGCAGAAAAACACCACAAACAGCAAAAUAAAAACUCCACAAGAUCAAACUAUACUAAUGUCAAGAACACGGACUGUUCUUGAACCUGCCAAAUUUGGCAUAUGCAUGAUUAGGCAAUUUGUUCUUGUGGAAUUAUCCCAAAGUGGAAUUAUCACAUCAAGAGAAUACAUAAUAAAAAUAAAAUGAAAAAAAAUCUACCACACCUAAUCAGACAAGUGCCCACUCGUCAGUGGCACACGAGCACACAGAGAAUUAAAAGGGGCAUGGUAGGGACGAACACACCACCUCUGCCUCACACGCGCAGCACCCCAGCCAGUAGGCUGAGACGACUCUGCUGCACUAACAGGGGCAUCAGGCAAGGUAUUCCUGCCUACUUGCCAAAUUCACCCCGGCUCGGGUGCCACUGGGCUAGGCGGUGUGUCUGCUCGAAGGGAGGAUCCACCCUAGAUAUCUAAGUAAAAGUGGUGCCUUCUCUGUUUAACAUAGAGGCGCCGACGAUGAUGUUGCUCGCCGGUGCAACGCAACACGCGCAUGACAACACUACAGGCGACAGUGAGUGCGGGCGCUGCGCUGCAGGUCCACUGCUUCUACGCCAAGCUGCAGCUGCUACUGAACUCCUGCACUGCUGCUGCAUCUACACUACACUGAUGCUGCUACUACUGAUCCGUUAAGCUGCGCGACAGAGUACGCGACGGCGAGCAACAACGGCGGCGACGGCGAGGCUCCAGGAAAGAGAGGGGGAAGAGGAGAAGAGCGGGAGGGGGGGGGGGGGGCUACUCACUAAGAGGGAGAGAAGAGGGGGCAUCCAUGCGCGAUGGACAGGAUCUCCCGUCGUGGAUCCGCUUCAGGAAGGCUCGCUGGACGUGAAGAAGCCUCGGUCGUCGUGGACGUCGAGGUGGUCGACCUUGGUGGCACUUCUCCACGAAAAUGGAACCCCAUGUUCGUCCGCCGGCUCCUGAUUCUGCAGGGGAGGGUCGAGGAUGUCGGAUUACCACGGCCUCGAGCUCUUGCCGGAGCCGGCCAUGGCGUGGUGGAGCUCUGGGGCCUCGCCCCGACUGUGGUAAGAGGGGAGAAGAGGGGAGAGAUGCGAGGCUAGGGUUAAGGCGCUGGGGUUGCUGGUGGCUUCCAUGGCUUCGUACUAAGGUGACAUCAACGAAGGAAGGAGAAGGAAG
rnacentral:lncRNA from 1 species